AUUGAACGCUGGCGGCAUGCUUUACACAUGCAAGUCGAACGGUAACAGGCCUUCGGGUGCUGACGAGUGGCGAACGGGUGAGUAAUGCAUCGGAACGUGCCCAGAGGUGGGGGAUAACGCAGCGAAAGCUGUGCUAAUACCGCAUGUGAUCUGAGGAUGAAAGCGGGGGACCAGGCAGCAAUGUUUGGCCUCGCGCCUUUGGAGCGGCCGAUGUCAGAUUAGGUAGUUGGUGGGGUAAAGGCCUACCAAGCCGACGAUCUGUAGCUGGUCUGAGAGGACGACCAGCCACACUGGGACUGAGACACGGCCCAGACGCCUACGGGAGGCAGCAGUGGGGAAUUUUGGACAAUGGGCGCAAGCCUGAUCCAGCAAUGCCGCGUGCGGGAAGAAGGCCUUCGGGUUGUAAACCGCUUUUGUACGGAACGAAAAGGCUCUGGCUAAUACCUGGGGCUGAUGACGGUACCGUAAGAAUAAGCACCGGCUAACUACGUG
rnacentral:rRNA from 1 species